AUACUUACCUAGCAGGGAGCUACCAUGAUCAUAAAGGUGGUUUUCCCAGGGUGAAUCUCAUCCAUUGCACUCUGGAUGUUCUGACCCCAGAGGCUUCCCCCAAUGUGGGAAACUCAAUUGCAUAAUUUGUGGUAGUGGGAGAAUUCAUUCAAGGUUUCCCCAG
rnacentral:snRNA from 1 species